rnacentral:rRNA from 1 species
AUGGCCGACGGCGAGGACAUCCAGCCGCUGGUGUGCGACAACGGGACAGGUAUGGUGAAGGCCGGGUUCGCCGGCGACGACGCGCCCCGGGCGGUGUUCCCCAGCAUCGUGGGGCGGCCGCGGCACACGGGGGUCAUGGUGGGCAUGGGGCAGAAGGACGCGUACGUGGGCGACGAGGCGCAGUCCAAGCGUGGUAUCCUCACCCUCAAGUAC